GCCUUCCCGACGACUAUGACGGGCCGUCGCCAGGAACUGUUCGGCAAAUCACUGACGACAUGGUGGCCGAGUUGCAGUCUCCAGAGUUCUGCGCGUACAUCAAGAAUCUCUCCAGCGACAAAUAUGGCGUCGAUCUUAACCUUCUGAAACAGAAUGACGCACCCGUUGCCUCGUUCCGCAAACUCAAUGUCGACUGAUACAUUUUUGAACAUUCAUUAAUUCAUCUUGCCUUGUCACACGUGACAUUAUUUCUGUGUUGUUUACUUUUUCUGUGUUGUACAAAUAAAAUUAUUGUAAGAGAAAUGAUCAAAGUCCUUUUAAAUAGAUUGCAUAUUUCCAAUUGUUCUAUACAUUCAUUGAUUGAUAAUUUUGUUCACAUAUUUAAUUGUUCAAAUGGAUGUGAUAAAUAAUGUUACUAUUUUUUCAGUGUGUAUUUUAGAAUUUACGUGUAUGGUACCGUGGGUUCGUUAUAUUUUAUUGACUGGGCGUUGGAAAACAUUAUUUAAUGUUGGGUAUGUAAACCAUUGCAUUGUCAAACAAUCCUGGUUUUUUCGUUGUGGUUCAUUGAAGUAUAUUACACAUCAUAAUGUUAACACCAGUACUGUAUUAAACACUCCUAUGUAAGCGAACGGCUAAAACGUGUCCUCUUGAAUAAUAGUCGCUAACAUGCACCAAGUUCAAACUAAUUAAGCCGCCAUUCAAUUGAAAUGAGCCUCGCUCAAAGAAAACCGUGCUUAAUGCAUGUGAGUUAAGUAUCGUCACUAGUGUGUCUGUGCAUUCUGUAAUAUGGGACGUGCAAUAUGGCAAUACUUCGAUCUAGGAAAACCGGGCUUAAUGCAUUGGGGUAAGUAUCGUCACUAGUGUGUCUGUGCAUUCUGUAAUAUGGGACGUGCAAAUCGGCAAUACUUCGAUCUAGGAAAACCGGGCUUAAUGCAUGUGUGUUAAGUAUCGUCACUAUGUGUGUCUGUGCAUUCUGCAAUAUGGGACGUGCAAAUCGGCAAUAUUUCGCUCUAGGAAAACCGGGCUUAAUGCAUGUGUGUUAAGUAUCGUCACUAUGUGUGUCUGUGCAUCCUGCAAUAUAAAACGUGCAUAUCGGCAAUACUUCGCUCUAGGAAAACCGGGCUUAAUGCAUGUGUGUUAAGUAUCGUCACUAGUGUGUCAGUGCAUUUCGUGCAAUUUUGCAAUACCGGUACACAAUUCGGGUAUCGCAUUUCUAACCAAUCACUUCUACAUUCUUAAUUAAAUGAUAUCGUGUGCUAAUAUAAACCUACAUUAUUCAGACAUUUAUUUACUUACCCAUGCUUUUGUUUGUUUUAGUUCAUUUGUGUGCAAUUGAAAUUUAACUAAUAAAACACCUUUAAACAA